rnacentral:rRNA from 1 species
AAUCUUGCGCACUGGGCGAAAGCCUGUCGCAGCCAUGCCGCGUGAAUGAUGAAGGUCUCAGGUUUGUAAAAUUCUUUCUCCGGGGACGAUAAUGACGGUACCCGGAGAAGAAGCUCCGGCUAACUUCGUGCCAGCAGCCGCGGUAAUACGAUGGGGGCUAGCGUUGCUCGGAAUUACUGCGCGUAAAGGGCGCGUAGGCGGAUCGUUAAGUCAGAGGUGAAAUCCCAGGGCUCAACCCUGGAACUGCCUUUGAUACUGGCGAUCUUGAGUAUGAGAGAGGUAUGUGGAACUCCGAGUGUAGAGGUGAAAUUCGUAGAUAUUCGGAAGAACACCAGUGGCGAAGGCGACAUACUGGCUCAUUACUGACGCUGAGGCGCGAAAGCGUGGGGAGCAGACAG